AACAGCUGUUGGCCGAACUAGUUUUCUGGAACCAGAAACAAAAGCCAAAGACUGUAGAAAAAACUAAACCAAACCAAACCGAAAAUAAAAGCCAUUUGCGUGGGCUUUGAAAGACAAUUAGCCGCAUGCCGCAAAAUCGAGAGACCGAAACGGGUUUCGGUGAGUCAACAAUGCAAACUAUGCGGGCUUUUGGCUUCAAAACCAUCAUAAAUGGAUGUCAAAUUCUAUAAAAUUGCAGCAGAGCAUUAAUAUCCCCGCAAUGCAUCAAUUCCACUCCGCUUUUGUCUGUCAAUUGCAUUCGACUGGGAAUGGAACUGGAACUGCGAAUGAGUGUGCAUUCAAUUAUCCGACCGAAAGAGCUGAGAACUGAGCUGACAACCCAUCAGAGUGGUUUUUUAGACCAUUAAAAGCUUUUGCUUUUGCCACAAAAAACCAAAAUCGAUAAGUUUGCAGUUUGUAUCUGUUGCGGUCUGGCGGGAGUGAAGUUUUUUAAAUAAAAACUGUUUUGUUUA